rnacentral:rRNA from 1 species
AACGUGUCGCGAUGGAUGACUUGGCUUCCUAUUUCGUUGAAGAACGCAGUAAAGUGCGAUAAGUGGUAUCAAAUUACCGAAUCUUUGAACGCAAACGGCGCAUGGGAGAAGCUCUAUUGUGUCAUCCCCGUGCAUGCCAUAUUCUCAGUGUCGA